rnacentral:lncRNA from 1 species
UAGGGACGUGUAAGGAAUGUUAAAAGGCUUAGUUAUCCUCGAAAUAACUCAAAAAUAGAGUGUUUUCAUUGCUGAAACCCUAAGUGUGUGUCGCACACCUGAUCGUAUAUGCUAGGGUAUGCGCCACACACCUUAUCGUACAAGCUAAGAUAUGCGUCGCAUACCUUAUCGCACAUCCAUACUGCCUCUCACAAAAAUGGGUAUAACUCAUCACUCGGG